ensembl:lncRNA
AUAGAAUAACGCUAACUAAUGAGAGAGAGCGCGAGGUGGGACAUCCGAUGAGGUUUUCAUAGACCAGUAUACUCUGCACUGGUUGGUGACAGCUCACAUGGGCCAUGUUGUCUGGCGCAACCACCUGACAAUCACAACGUAUUAGGUUACCACUUGCGCGAUGUCCACCUGUUAGUUGUCAUGGCGGAAAAAUCAGCGAUGAGGCCUUCUUGCUGCCGGUCUCUGCAUGAUUGAAGAAGGCAAUGAGCUCCAUCGGGUCUUUUUAAAAAUGGCGGAUGGGGAGACAAGCCGUGUGGGCUGCAAUCCACUCCCAGUUAGACGGGGUCUGUUCAGGCCUCUGUCAGCUCCACAAUGCCCUGGGGGACAUGAAGGACAUCCAGAACUCUGGCAGAAGUCAGCAAUGACUGGAGGCAAGGCAUCAACACCAUUGAACGUGCAGUAUGUAAAAUAUGCUGGGAUGCAACACAGUCAGCUAACCUCAGCCAUGGAGAACUUGGAAGAAUAUAUUUUCAGGUAUGUUCAGCUGCACCCAUUACAUGCCAUUUGGUUGGGAACUAUUAUUGUUGGCUUGCAUUGCAUUUGAUGUGAGACUGUACUGCUACAUUGUAUUAGUGUAUUGUCCCUCAACUGGGUCCUCAAUUAAUACUUACAAAAGUAUGUCUGUACUGCUCUCGGUGACUCAUGUAUAGGGCCCUGUGUUUUGGUUAACAGUUUCACUAAGCAGCUACCCUCAUACAACUUGUUUGAAGGUGAAAUCACAGUAGGAGAAAACCUAAGAUUUUAGUUACAGCAGCACACUGACAUUAUAAAAGGCAAGAGGUUGAAUGGGCCAACAUGAAGGGUGACUACCUCAUGAAGCUGGUUGAGAGAAUGCCAAGAGUGUGCAAAGCUGUCAAGGCAAAGGGUGACUACUUUGAAGAAUCUCAACUAUCAAAUAUAUUUUGAUUUGUUUAACACUUUUUUUGUUUACUUCAUGAUUCCAUAUGUGUUAUUUCAUAGUUUUGAUGUCUUCACUAUUAUUCUACAAUGUUAAAAAUAGUCAAAAUAAAGAAAAACCCAUGAAUGAGUAGGUGUGUCCAAACUGGUACUGUAACUCCAAAUAAAACAUUUG